rnacentral:rRNA from 1 species
GAUGAACGCUGGCGGCGUGCCUAAUACAUGCAAGUCGAGCGAACAGACGAGGAGCUUGCUCCUUUGACGUUAGCGGCGGACGGGUGAGUCACACGUAGGUAACCUACCUAUAAGACUGGGAUAACUUCGGGAAACCGGAGCUAAUACCGGAUAAUAUUUCGAACCGCAUGGUUCGAUAGUGAAAGAUGGCUUUGCUAUCACUUAUAGAUGGACCUGCGCCGUAUUAGCUAGUUGGUAAGGUAACGGCUUACCAAGGCAACGAUACGUAGCCGACCUGAGAGGAUGAUCAGCCACACUGGAACUGAGACACGGUCCAGACUCCUACGGGAGGCAGCAGUAGGGAAUCUUCCGCAAUGGGCGAAAGCCUGACGGAGCAACGCCGCGUGAGUGAUGAAGGUCUUCGGAUCGUAAAACUCUGUUAUUAGGGAAGAACAAACGUGUAAGUAACUGUGCACGUCUUGACGGUACCUAAUCAGAAAGCCACGGCUAACUACGUG